GUGUGUGUGUGUGUGUGUGUGAGAGAGAGAGAGAGAGAGAGAGAGAGAGAGAGAGAGAGAGAGAGAGAGAGAGAGAGAGAGAGAGAGAGAGAGAGAGAGAGAGAGAGAGAGAGAGAGAGAGAGAGAGAGAGAGAGAGAGAGAGAGAGAGAGAGAGAGAGAGAGAGAGAGAGAGAGAGAGAGGAAAAAACGGGUUCCAAAAGUCGUACGGAAAAAUAAAUAAAAAAGCGACUGAGUUGUGUGUGUGUGUGUGUGUGUUUGUGUGUGUGUGUGUGUGUGUGUGUGUGUGUGUGUGUGUGUGUGUGUGUGUGUGUGUGUUUCAGUGACUGCAAUAUCAAAUCACCAUGAUAAGUCUGCUCUCUCUCUCUCUCUCUCUCUCUCUCUCUCUCUCUCUCUCUCUCUCUCUCUCUCUCUCUCUCUCUCUCGCCAUUACCACAAAAAAGCAAUAACAACAACAAUAACACUUCUUCUUGCUCUUCUUCGUUGUCUUCUUUCUUCUUCUUCUUCUUCUUCUUCUUCUUCUUGUUGUUCUACUUCUUCUUCUCCAAAUAUUCCUUUUUCCUUAAUAUUGCAAUUUUCAAUGUACUACUACUACUACUACUACUACGAAUACUACUACUACUACUAUUGCUGCUAUUACUAAUAUUACUACUACAACCACUACUUCUUCUACUACUACUACUACCACUACUACUACUACUACUACUACUACUACUACUACUACUACUACUGUUCCUGCUACAACUACUAUUACUACUACUACUACCACCACUUCUUCUACUACUACUACUACUACUACUACUACUACUGCUACUAUUACUACUACUUCUACUACUACUACUACCAGUACAAACAUUACAACCCUGACAACCACCACUACAACUACUACUCCUACUACUACUACUACUACUACUACAAUUACUACAAAUGAAGAACAUAUGGAAAAUAAAGGUAAAGAAGAAAGAGAGGAAGGAAGGAAGGAAUGAAGGAAGGAAAAAUUUAAAAAAAGAAAAUGGACCAAUAACCCAAUCUUGUCCAUACACACACACACACACACACACACACACACACACACACACACACACACACACACCUUGAACAGGACAAUCAAAAUAAAUGUCGACUUUUUUUCCAUUUUUUUUCAUGUUUUUUUCCUGUUUUUUUUCCGAUCACUUUCUCGUUCACUGUUUGUUUGUGUGUUUGUUUAUCCAGUGACUUGUAUAGAUCAUGUUUUGGAAGCUGUAUAGUAAGUUUAAAAGCGUUUCCUAAAGUAUGUAAUAUAUAGGUAUGGUGUGUGUGUGUGUUUGUGUGUGUGUGUGUGUGUGUGUGUGUGUGUGUGUGUGUGAGGUUACAUCAGUCACAGUCACAUGCUUAGAUUACACACACACACACACACACACACGCACGCACCACAUGACAUCCCGAGAGAGAGUGUGUGUGUGUGUGUGUGUGUGUGUUCAGGGUAGGGCAAGUUAGAUUAGGAAGGCGACGAAAUACAGAAAUAAAACACUACCGGAGAGAGAGAGAGAGAGAGAGAGAGAGAGAGAGAGAGAGAGAGAGAGAGAGAGAGAGAGAUUCAGUUUCGCCUCACGUUUCCUUUCCGUUUCGUGUUUCUUCUUUGUUUCGUAGCGCGUAUCAGACAUGUAUAAAUCUCGACUCUUGUAUAGAGAAAAACAAUUCCCUUAUGAUGUAGAUUUUAAAUAAUAUAACCAGACUUUCAAUA